rnacentral:sRNA from 1 species
UGGCUGAAAAAAAAGGAGCGCAGGGUGCUGGAGGAGAGGUGGGGAAUGCGGUGGGGGUCAUGGUGCAUGAUGCAUGCCCAAUGGCUUUAUUUCCGGAUGACCGUGUAAAACGUGCUCGUGGUUUGCAGCUUAUUAAAUGAGCUAUUUGAUUAACAUUGUUCGGGGCUCGUUGUUACGCUAAUGAAAGGACAAAAGCGAAUAUUUGGACUACAAGGCUCAAAGGACACAGGCCCAAAGCCAUUUUACAGGACAAUUCAUUAGAACAUGUAUAAUUCAGUGCAUGUUUUAUGUUCCAUGCAUGUAAGGAAGCUAUGAAUUUAUAUUUUAAAACAUAUUGUAAAAGAAUUGUAGAUUCAAAGAAAGUUAUUUUAAUGUCAGUUAACAGAUUAAUCAACUUAUGCAAUCUUUUUAUCUAAUCCUCGAAACGUGGCCUUCGCCUUUGGCAAUAUGCAAUUAACUUUUCAUAAAUAACAAUGUUCAUAAACGGCAGGCAAUACAAACAUUUCUACAUUAAUCGAAAUUGUACAAUUUACUCUGUCACUCAAUUACUUUGUUUUUCCUUGGCAGCUUAUUAGAUGCCACAUUGUGCAUGCCCAGGAGCGAAGACUUUGCAAUUGUUGAUGUUUGCACGGGCGAAACACCUUGGAGUCCUGGGGGAAACCGCACGAGCCCGACCAGAUGAUGAUCUAAUUGAAUGACAAUAUUAUGCCAAGGCCUAAUUCAAUUUGCAUUCCUUGGGAAGAGGUGCAGGUGGAGGAGCUCGAGCUGGAAACUGGGAGCUGGGACAUGGGCUGAAUCUUAAACAAACACGGCAAUUACUGCCGACGGAUGCACUUGUCUGGCCAAAUGACUUGGUCCUGUAAUUAGCCCGGGGAUGAAAGGAUGCGGGAUGGGUUCUCGUUUUUCGGUUGGCCCUUUGUCGGCCUCCUCGGGGGUCCGCCUAAUUAUCACAUUUUUACUCAUUAAAUACACAUUUGCCUUGUUUUUUCGUUGCUUUUCCCCCUUUUUUUUUGCAGGUCCUGCGUGGAUCCUGCUGUCUAAUUACAGGGUAAUCAGGCUUUCAGCCGCCCUGGCCACCGAAUGAUGAUUGAUUGAGGCAAGUAUGAGCGGCAGUAACUUAAAAUCAUGCUGCUUAACUCAUUUCCAUUCCAGGUGACAUCUGCCCAAGCGCGUGCCAUGCAAAAGUGCUUGGAGGAAAGUGCAAACAGCAGCUGAAAUGGAUAUGGAAAAAGCAAAUCGAAAACUGAUUUGGAGCGGAAGUUCGUUUGCACCUUUCUGCAGUUUCCUGUAUUUGCCGCCGUCGCCGCCAGAACAAUAAACAUCCACAAUCUGCAGCUACAGCCACUUCCAUUCCAUGCCCACAAUCGCAAUCAGAAUCACCGAGUGUUCUAUAUAAAGUGCCAUGACUUGUCUUGGCCUUUGACGCCGUCUUUUGUACUAAGAGAGUUGAGUUCAAAUGGAAUGGAGGUGGAGAUGGAGAUGCAGAUGGAGGUGAAGUCACCGCCCGUUGGCUUUUCAAUGAGCUGAAAAUCAAAAGCUAUACGCGAUUUCCCACAGAGCACCGAUUAAGGAUAUGCGUAUGCACGCAAAGAAACUUUGAAUGUUUGGAUCUCAGUUUCGAUAAAUUAUGAUAUUUACAAUAAUAUCAUAAGUAGUUGGAUUGAACUUUACGUUGGGAUAAGACUUUAUGCAAGGACGAAGAAUCCCGGCAGCUGCUCCUUGGGAACGCUGUAUUUGAUUUGCGAUUCAAGGCAGGCGGAAAUGGAAUGACACGCGAGGCACUCUUACUUUGUUUGACGAUUGGCAAAAAUGCUGCCUCCAUUGCCCGACAAAAAACAGAAGGAACAGAAGGACCAAGGACCCGCCAGACCCGCCAGUCGUAAGAGACUUCCACUUGAGCCGCACGCAUUGUUUGCGCUGCGAACCGAAGGGGCGUGCUGGAAAUCGGAUAUAGGAUCGCUCGUUCGGGACAAUCAAAUAGCGCAGCGGAGUUUUCCAACCCACUGAGCAGCCGCAAUCGGCGUAGAAUCAGCUGCCUUCAACCUCCAAGAAGACUCUAUGGCGAUGAGGUGCCAACCCGAGCCACGCGUGUCCCGUGUCCUAUGGCCAAUGGUCAAUGCCCAAUGGCCAAAAUUGGACACUGGCCGUCUCAUUAGCGCACCAAAGGUUGGAGGGUUAAUGAUGCGCACCCCGUGCUCCGGCUUCCGUCCCCCACACCAAAGCCUCCGGGCAAUUAUGCGACGCACUUGAGCUUGAAGGGCCUCGAAGGUGAGGAGUACACUUGGAAAAACCGAACAAAAACUAGUAUGGCACAUAUGAUGGUUAUUUUAUCGUACGGCAAACGACUGAGAUACUUAAAUCAAUGAAAUAAGCGCAGCUUCCACGUAGUGUGAAUAAGCAAUAAGAGAGCAAGAAUUCCUGCCAGCGUAAUAUUUAAUUUUCGAAUAGGUAGUUCUCAAUUUAUGAUCAGAGCAACCAUUUCAAUGGCUAAGCACUUCUUUGAGUGUACGCGUAGGAGGACUGCAGUGGCCAUUCAUUGACCCCGUCUGCGUAGUAGCUCGGGUUUUAUGGUGUCGUCGUAAAUGUCAGGUGCGCACCCCAUUUAAAUUUAUUCAACGUAAUUAGUUGUCUUCCCCUAUAAGGUAUAAAGUGCCAGUAAGUCUGUAGUGUGUGCACAGCGAUGUACAGAGUGUCAGUGCACGAAUCUAAUUUGAUUGCCUGCCAAAAAACUACAAGUGUUAGGGGAUUACGAUGCAGUGCUUCCGCUCUGGCCCGAAAAAUUCGAUUUCCCUUUGGAAGAUACAUUUUUGUGGCGCGGAUUAAACGACACAUAAAACAUAUAAAUGGAACGCAACACACCUGCAGGUGGAAAAACAUGCAAAAAUGAUCGUUGCGAGAUAUGCGAACGGGACAUGACGCCGCAGGAUGCCAAACAGGCUGCCUCAGUCCGCUGGCGCUCCAUUUGGGCCACCAUUCUCGCCUCGCUCUCGCCUCGGUUAUCGGUGAAUUCCGUGACGAUGGCAAAAAUAUUGCAACGCAGCCAAAAGGGAUGGCAGUGGGCAGUGGGAAAAAAGGGGUCUGGGUCGUGGUCCAUUUCGUGUGCACGUCGUUAUCCUUGCUCCGGAUGCACAACAAUCAAAAUAAACGGCUGCCAAAUUGACCAUUGACCAAACAUCGUCAGCAGAGAACGGCGAGGAGGUGCCGGCGACCAAUGCAGCAGGAUGUGUGGGCGGCAAAGGACCUCCGGGGGCAAGGGUGUGAGGUGAGGCACUGGAUAGCGACAUCAUCUUUGGCCCCGUCACGUCCACUUUCUGCUCCAUUCAGGAGCCAAGCAGCCAACUCGAAAUAAACAUGAAAUGCACUUGUUUUUGUGCAGCAGGAAAAGCGAUUAAAGGCUGUUAAAGCAAGGACAUGAAAACUAGAAGUAAAGCACUUAACUGGCUCACAGGUCAACUCCUUCUUCAGAAUGUAAUCAAGAAAUAUGUGUAAUGGGCCAUAAUUGAUACCCUAUAAGCCAGAUGCCGUCCAGAGUUAGUAGCUGCCGCUACAUAAUUAACCAGAAAUGUGCGCUCAUCCCGCGUCCCCACUCGAUUUACGAUAUUAUUGCAGAAUAAUGAAAUCGCCAAGAGAUUCCAAUUCAAUCUACGCGCCGCGUAGGCCAUUUAUGGAUUGGCAUUGAUUUAAUACCGCGUCGCGAGAGAUCGCCUCCAGGUUCGGUUCCCCCGAGUCCGAGGCGCAAGGCAUUUUGCACCUACUUCAGCCCCAAGACGUCCAACUCGACGUGGAGCUCGCGGCUCCAAAGUCCGCAUCUGAUCUGAUUCCGCCGCCUAUCGCUCCCCGAGAUCAGCGGCGCAGACGCCACCUCGGCGGAGGCUGGAUCGGCGGGCAGGAGGGCAUCGCAGCACUCAGAGAAAAUGCACCUCAGAAGGAAAUGCAAUGACUUCUGUAAUGAAUUCUGAUUCGGAAGCCGCAAUGGAAAUUAUUUAGCAAGCUCAGUUUCAUACAACUUUUUGUACUACUACUACUUGCUCAUCCAGCACGACUGAAAGGAUUUUUUCUGAAUGCACUGCCCCAAUGUUUAUUCAAUAAACCCGAUCUGAGAUGCAACAACCAGGAGGAGAAGCGGCAGAACAGCAGCUGGCUGGCAUUCCUGCGAGAAGCAACCGUUGAGCAGUUCUGCCGUUGGCCCAUUCAAGACAAGUCGCUGGAAUUUCUUGGUGCGUGCUCGGCACAGGCACAGUCACAGUCACAGGUUGGGGCUCGGAAUCGGAUUCAGCUGGUCCAGCGUCUGCCAGCUGCGUCUCCUGAUUAUGAUAAUGGCCGUUGGACUGGACCGGAUCGCAUUGGACCGGGACAGGAACAGGGAGCAGAUCGCAACACCAGGCGGCUGGGCCACGACGGACCGCUCAGCUCAUCCCACUGGCCAGUUGUGCGCAAUUGCUUUCGUUUAUGAUCGAAUGAUCGAAUGCCUGGCAGCUCCGUUGACUUUCUGAUUAAUGGAAGAAUGCUCCUUGGCGGCGUUCCUGCUUUUUGCCCGAUCCCACCACCACUGACUGCAAUUAAAAGUGGAUGCCCCUCGCUAAAAAGUGGAGGAAGGCAGGCCUGGACAUCAACGCCAAAGACAAGUUAGAGCCAACCAAGCUAAGCCCAGAUAAGAGCAUUCCCAGUUCGCCUUCGUACGUGGAGCCACAGAUUGAUUUGAUUCCUGACCGGCUGCCGUCGCCUACUGUGCCGGCUGUGCCUGAUGUCCGAUGGCUGGAAGAAUGGGAACCCAAGUGGCGGCCAGAUGCAGACUGAGCCGAGGAAGACAAACGACAGUCGCCAGCGCGCCUCGUGCCUCCAGUUGUCAUAACGUUCAACACAUCGCGCCCCUCGGUGGCGUCUUGCGUCUUCGCCGCAUCCACAUGCCCGACUUCUGUGCGCUGCCAUAAAAGGAUUUGUCACGUGCGAGCUUUUGUUGCAAAUGCAACAAUCAUCAGCCUGCAUUAUGCAUGGCGCAUUGCCAGGUUGGACAUCGCAUCGCGGCAUUCCUGGCCAGGUCCGCCUGCCUCCGCCAGGUCCUGGUCCUGGCUCAUAUGCUCGCCGACCAGCAGAUCAUUGCAAUUUAUAAUUAAGUGGAAAUAUGUUGUCUACGAUGGCAACAAGGAUCUCAGAUUGCUGGCGCAGAUAUGAAUGCCUCACAAAGUGGCGGGCUGCAGAGGGAAACGGCAGGGAAACGGAUCCCUCAAUUGGAAUAACAAAUGCAUUAGCAGGCCAAACAAGGACCUAAUAAUGUCCUCGCCGAGGGAAUGUGAAUGGAAAUCCAUUGUGCAAAGAAUGGGCCGGGUCUCAUCCGCAAUUACCGUUAGGCACACACACAAACAAGGCGCAACAAUCACACACACACACACACACACAGAGGCAAAUGAGGACACGUUGGCCUGGCUAAUUCAUGACUUUAAGGACACUUUGGCAAACAAUCGAACGGUCAAGGCGAAGGAAUAUUCACUGUGCAAUUGAUUAUGCAUGAGUGUUUUGUCGUGUGCGGUUUGUGUGCGUGCCAAUCAACUGGGUAGAAUCAAUCAAAAUGCAAUAGGAUUGCCCUGCCAAUCAAAGGCAAAGCCGAGAAGAGCGCUUCCUCCGCUCGCAGAAGUCACCUCUGGCCCCCAGUUGCACAGCUUAAGUCCGAGGCAGUCCGGGCCUGGCCAGUAUUUUCGGACCACAUCAGGACAAAUAGCCAGCGUCCAGGUAACCAGGACAAACACUCAAAUGCCUGGCGAAGCGUGGCGAAGGAAGCAAACGAGACGUAGGCUUACAUACGGAAAAACUGUGGACUAACUUGGUCUGCAAUCCAAUAUCCAUAGUACUUAAUAUCCUUAAAAUAACAUAAUUCGUAAUGUA